UACGGAGGGUGCGAGCGUUGUCCGGAAUCAUUGGGCGUAAAGGGCGCGUAGGUGGCUUCUUAAGCGUGCGGUGAAAGCCUGGGGCUCAACCCCGGGUCGGCCGUGCGAACUGGGGGGCUGGAGCACUGUAGAGGCAGGCGGAAUUCCGGGUGUAGCGGUGGAAUGCGUAGAGAUCCGGAAGAACACCGGUGGUGAAGGCGGUCUGCUGGGCAGUAGCUGACACUGAGGCGCGACAGCGUGGGGAGCAAACAGG
rnacentral:rRNA from 1 species